rfam:TPA: Bos taurus chromosome 12, whole genome shotgun sequence.
UCCCUGGUGGCUCAGACAGUUAAGCAUCUGCCUGCGGUGCAGGAAACCCUGGUUCAAUCCCUGGGUUGGGAA